AUGUGGCUGCUUGUUCUUGCCAAUCUCAGCUGGGUCAAUGUCAAUGUGCACAAUCUUGGACCUGCUUGCAAAAGCCUCGAUUUUCCCGGUCACACGAUCAUCAAACCGCACACCAAAUGCAAGCAACAGGUCAGCCUUAUCUACUGCAUAAUUUGCAUACACAGUGCCAUGCAUCCCCAGCAUGCGCAGAGACAGUGGGUCGUCACUGGGGAAGUUGCCAAGGCCCAUAAGAGUAGUUGUAACUGGAAUCCCAGUGAGCUCAACAAAGCGGGCUGGUGGCGCGGGAGAGGCUGGCGGGCGGGUUUGGGUAUGGCGGCGGCGGCGGCGGCGGCGCCCGAGAAUGCGACGGCGGGGGAGGUGGCUGCGGCCAUGGCGGCGGCGAGGGUUUGGGCGAGGGAGAGAUUUCUGUGA
rnacentral:rRNA from 1 species